rnacentral:lncRNA from 1 species
AUUGUACUGAUGAGGAAGCUGACGUUAAGAGCAGUAAAUUGCCUGCUUCAAACAGCUUAUAAAUGGCAGAGCAAGGAUCUAAGAAAUCAAGGGGAUUUUAAAAUUCUACCCCUUAACUCUAAUUCAUAGUUGAGUCAUGAGGAGGCUGAAUAAUUGCAUACUCUACACUUAUCCUCAUUCUGCUUUUAAUUUAUGUAAGUGUUUACUGACCUUGCUUUAAGCUUCCUGAAACCAGACGGCACAACUUAGAGGGAAGAAAUCUCAGAAUGAAUAUAGGGCUCUUCUUGUAGUCUGGCCAAUGGAUCUGCUGGGUAAGUGGCAGAAUCCCUCACUUACUUAGUAGAUAAAGCUCUCCAUGAGGACAUACUGAAAGCCCCUAGCUAGUCCCUAGAGGAGAAUCUCUCAGCUGAUGACACCCAGGAAUCAUCUCACCAAUGAGACCCUUUAAGACUUAGAAGCUCCUUACCAGCGGAACAUCCUGCAGGUGUGACCCAGCAGGAGGGAACUCACUCUACUGAGAAGCAUUUUCAUCCUAGAUUCUAUCCAGUUACUUAUGAAGACUGAAAUCCAGAUAAUAAGACUUGGUGUGCCCCAGCAGUAAAGCCCUGCAGUGACGUGCUCAAGGCAAAAGUGAACGGCACUGAGUAAGCUGAGAGGUCUCUGGCCUCCACUGCACUGGAGAGGAUCCCGGAGGAUGGGUGAGAGAGGAUCUAUGUAGAGGCAUCAGGAAUCACUGACCUCUCACACGCGUUUUAGAGGACGUCCACCGUCAAUGAGACACAGAGAGCACUUAUAGCCAGAUUUUGGAUUUCAACACAGAUUACCAGUCUCAAGAGAUGACAUUAUGAAUCUCUGUGCUAUGCUGCCUCUCAAAUGUGCACCGAAUGUUCAAGGAGGUUGAAGUAAACCAGGAAGAAUGGAGCAAAGACAUGGAUACAUUAAGCUAUUUUAUUGUUCCAUUUCAUUCUGCUUAUAGAAAAAGUUUUCAACCUUCAUUUUAUAAAUCAGAGACAAGUUUAUGGCUACAAGUUCACUAAAGCCUGGAGAUUAUCAACACACAUACACACACAUAAUAGUUUCAUUUUUAAUGAUGUAUCACAUAUAAUUGGAAGUUAUUAAAGCUCAGAUACCAAAGCUCAGUAUCUUCUUUUUCAAAAUUAGUGGCUUCAGUGUUCCUGUUACCAAAUGAUUCAUUUUGCUCUUCAUUCAAAGAUGAAAGCUUCUACUUGGAAGUGGGAAAGAUAACUGAGAAAAUGUUAUUCAGGUCCCUCAUCAUAAAAUUGAAUAGGGUCACAUAAUUGGAAAGUUAUUUAAGCAUAGCACAAUCAGAUGCCAUGGUUAUCUUCCUGCUUGCUAACCCAGGUUAUUUCACAGUGGAAAGUAUGCUAGUCUGGAAAGGGACAGAGGAAAAGAAGUCUUAUGAAAGAAAUCAUUUUGCAAUGGCAAGUAUACCAAUGCCCUCAGGAAACUGUAGCAACAAUCAGGAUUUAAUCCAACUAAAGCAAAUAUUGCAGGACACAGGAAGGUAAUGUCAAAUACAAGACUUUAUUGGAUUGGCCUCUGAAAUAGAUAAAUGUGCAAAUGCAAAACUGAUGAAAAGAAAUAAGUUUGCUACCUACCAUUAAAUGGAUCAAUAUCAAUCUGCUAACUUUAAUCUUUUUAUGGUAGUUUUCAUUAUAAGACAUGACCUGUGUUUUUCUAACAAUCUACCAUCAAAAGACUAGCUUUGAGUGAAAUUAAGGUUUACCUUUACAAAUUAUUAACACACCUGCCCCUGAAUAUUAACUCAAAGCAAAUUUGUCAUUUCCCUCAAAGGCUGCUGACAUUCAUGGCCUUUCAAGAUCCUUAUAUUUCUAUCAUUCUAUUCAGCUUAAAAUAGUCUGAAGGUUUUCUUUAAAUGAGCAGAAAGUAUAGCAGAAAUUCACGAGCUUUAGUAAAUCUUUAGAAUUCAGAUGAACUCUUAUGUAUUGCUUUAUGGAAAAAUAGCUUCCCAAAGUCACUUUCAUACUUGGUGUCAAUAUUCUCAUUCUUACUCACCCAGGGGCUACUUGGAGAACAGAGUUAACAAAUGUCCACAUAGAGAAGUUUCUUGUAAGGAACUACAAUGGAGGAUAGAAAUGAAGUGGAAACAAAAGGAAGAACUACAUGACAUUUUUUUUUUUAAAUAUCUCAUUUUAAUAGAAUAUUGAAAAAGCUUAUUUAGUAUAAUAAAGAAUGGGAAUUUUUGCACAGAUAAUUUGAUCCACUCUUCCUAUUCUCAAAUAUAAUUUCCUCAUGUGAUAUCUUUCUCCAAAGUGGGGAGCAAUAGCAGAGCUUUUUUAUUAAGGGGAGAGAAUCUUUUUUGUGUAGGUAAAAUAGUCCAUUGGUGUGGCAGAAGCCAGGAUAACCAACCAACUUGUGUAUUUCAAUCUUCUGUUCUGAGACCAACAUUGUUUUCCAUCCCUAAUAUUUGAAGAAACUUCCCAUGAUGGCACAGACCUAC